UACAGAGGGGGCAAGCGUUGUUCGGAAUUACUGGGCGUAAAGGGCUCGUAGGCGGCCAACUAAGUCGGAUGUGAAAUCCCCAGGCUCAACUUGGGAACUGCAUCCGAUACUGGAUGGCUUGAAUUCGGGAGAGGGAUGCAGAAUUCCAGGUGUAGCGGUGAAAUGCGUAGAUAUGCGGAGGAACACCGAUGGCGAAGGCAAUCCCCUGGGCCUGCACUGACGCUCAUGCACGAAAGCGUGGGGAGCAAACAGG
rnacentral:rRNA from 1 species